UUUCGCAAUGCCCGAAAGGGUGACGAAGCGACGCCGCGUGUGGGAAGAAGGCCUUCGGGUCGUAAACCACUGUCGGGAGUUAGGAAAUGUAAGGGUGCUAAUAGUAUCCUUACUUGACUAAGGCUCCGGAGGAAGCCACGGCUAACUCUGUGCCAGCAGCCGCGGUAAUACAGAGGCGGCAAGCGUUGUUCGGAAUUAUUGGGCGUAAAGAGCACGUAGGCGGCCUUGUAAGUCAGUUGUGAAAGCCUUCUGCUUAACGGAAGAACAGCAGCUGAUACUGCAAGGCUAGAGUGCGGAAGGGGAGAGUGGAACUUCUGGUGGAGCGGUGAAAUGCGUAGAUAUCAGAAGGAACACCGGCGGCGAAGGCGACUCUCUGGUCCGUAACUGACGCUGAGUGUGCGAAAGCUAGGGGAGCAAACGGGAUUAGAUACCCCGGUAGUCCUAGCCGUAAACGAUGGGCACUAAGUAGAGGGGUUUUA
rnacentral:rRNA from 1 species